GGAGGUAGUGACAAUAAAUCACAAUGCGGGACUAUUUAGUUUUGCAAUUGGAUUGAGAACAAUGUACAAGAGUUAUCGAUAAACAAUUGGAGGGCAAGUCUGGUGCCAGCAGCCGCGGUAAUUCCAGCUCCAAUAGCGUAUAUUAACGUUGUUGCAGUUAAAAAGCUCGUAGUUGAAGUGUGGGGUGAAAGGUUUGUCUUUUGUUUUAAAAGAUGUUCUGCUCACCCCCUCUCCAAUGUGUUGUUAUGGGUAUUAAUUUACUUGUAAUAGCUAUUGGUCAUUUACUGUGAGAAAAUUAGAGUGUUCAAAGCAGGCAUUUGCUUGAAUAUAUUAGCAUGGAAUAAUAAUAAAAGGCUUUUAUGGUCGAUUUAAUUGGUUUGUUCAUGAAAGCAAGAUUAAAAGGGACAGUUGGGGGUAUUCAUAUUCAAUAGUUAGAGGUGAAAUUCUCGGAUUUAUGGAAGAUGAACAAGUGCGAAAGCA
rnacentral:rRNA from 1 species